rnacentral:rRNA from 1 species
GCUUAAAACCUAGCCCCACCUUAUCGCAACUUAUGUAACCAAACUUCUUUAUUAAAUCUAAUAAAACAUUUUCAACAUCUAGUAAAGGCGAUUAAAAAAUGUCUAGGAGCCUUAAAAACAGUACCGCAAGGGAACGGUGAAAUAAAAAUGAAAUAACUUUAAAGCACCAAAAAGCAGAGACCAAACCUCGUACCUUUUGCAUCAUGGUCUAGCCAGUCCAACCAAGCAAAAAGCAAUUUAAGUUUGACCCCCCGAAACUAAGUGAGCUACUUCAAAACAGCCUUUUAGGGCCAACCCGUCUCUGUUGCAAAAGAGUGGGAAGAUUUUCAAGUAGAGGUGACAGACCUACCGAACUUAGAGAUAGCUGGUUAUUCAGGAAAAGGAUCUUAGUCCUACCUUAAACCCUCAAAAUAAUUUUUAAUACACCAAUGGGCUUAAGAGCUAUUCAAAUAAGGUACAGCCUAUUUGAAACAGGAUACAACCUCAACAAUAGGGUAAUGAAUUCUUAACAUAUGACCAAGUGGGCCUAAGAGCAGCCACCUUCAAAAAAGCGUUAAAGCUUAAUCAUUAAAUUAACCUAAUUCCACCAAUUUCACCAAAACCCUUACCCAAUACUGAAUGAUUCUAUACAUGUAUAGAAAACUAUAUGCUAGAACUAGUAAUAAGAAGAAGACCUUCUCCAAAAUAUAAGUGUGAGCCGAAAUGAACAACUCACCGGCACUUAACGCAACUGAACCAAUAGUAGCAACCCUACAAGAAAACCCUACCUCAACAUGCGUCAACCUUACACUAGUAUAUUCCUGGAAAGAUUAAAAGAGAAGGAAGGAACUCGGCAAACUAUUAACCCCGCCUGUUUACCAAAAACAUCGCCUCUUGAAAAAAUAUAAGAGGUCCAGCCUGCCCAGUGACAAAGUUAAACGGCCGCGGUACCCUAACCGUGCGAAGGUAGCGCAAUCACUUGUUCUUUAAAUGAGGACUAGUAUGAAUGGCAUCACGAGGGUUAUACUGUCUCCCUUCUCCAAUCAAUGAAACUGACCUCCCCGUGAAGAGGCGGGGAUAACACUAUAAGACGAGAAGACCCCAUGGAGCUUAAAACUCAGCACCAAUUACCUAACCACACUCCAUCUUAAUCCGGUAAUUAUGGCCUCUGGUUUUCGGUUGGGGUGACCGCGGAGUAAAACAAAACCUCCACGAUGAAUGGACCAACGCUCCUAAUCAUAGAGCCACAGCUCAAAGAAUCAAAAAAUUGACAAAAAUUGAUCCAAUUAAUUUUGAUCAACGAACCAAGUUACCCUGGGGAUAACAGCGCAAUCCACUUCAAGAGCCCCUAUCGACAAGUGGGUUUACGACCUCGAUGUUGGAUCAGGGUAUCCCAGUGGUGCAGUCGCUACUAAAGGUUCGUUUGUUCAACGAUUAAAACCCUACGUGAUCUGAGUUCAGACCGGAGAAAUCCAGGUCGGUUUCUAUCUAUAAAGAGUUUCUCCUAGUACGAAAGGACCGGAGCAACAUGGCCAAUAUUACAAACAAGCCAUACCUGAACAUUAAUGACUACAACUCAAUUAACACCAGCCUUCUACCAAAAACCAAGAUAAGAAAU